AUGGUAAUCUUGUUUGGCAACCGAAAAAGUUAUCGCCAGCUAUCUUGCAACCUCCUCACCUUCCGCAAUCUGCAACCCAGGCUACAGUUCUUUCCCCACAGAGCUCAUUGCCGAUGGCCAAUCUCAACCCUAAUCCACACCGCUUCCUUCGGCAAGGUCACAUUGUGCAUCUGGGAGGUAAUCUACGAGUUCCUAGGAGUUACUAGAGUAGACCUCACCAUCCCUCAGAGGCCGGAGCGAAGGCAUGAGGAUUUCUGCUUAGCUUUGGUUCACCCGCAAGUUCCGGAGCAAGAUUGGGACCAUCAUCAGCUUCUGAAUCUGGAUCACAUCCUGGAUGAGCGCCUUUUUGAGGGUGACUUCAUCAAUAUGCCACCAGAAGAAGAUCUUCCCCUAGUUGGCCCACAGCCUAAUCCUGCUACUGAUGAUGAUGAAGAUCCUAAUGAUGGUCACAUCUGGCAAAUGGGUCAUCCUCCAGCAGAUCAGGGGGAUUGGGAUGAUUUAGUCCAACAGCAAAAUGCAGCAGAUGAGCAGGUGGAGGAUGCUUGGGGACAGGACCACCCUAUGGGCCAGAUCAUGGAAGCAAACCCUGAAGGAAUAAUCCACUUGGCUGCAGCUAACCCUGGACAUGAAAAUGUCAUGGUCCCCUUUGUCCCUGCUACAAACAAGGGGAAAAAGGUGCAAGAAUCUGGUCAGGAUGCACAAGUUCAAAGGUUCUUAGCACGGUUGGAGAAAAUUGCACAAAGUGAGUACCCCAGGUCUCCCUAUUACUACCCUAUGAAGGGUAUCAAUGAGAAGAUUGAUCUCCUGUGCAAAGAAAGAAAUUCUCUGAGUCAGUUUUUGGCUAGUCACUCUAUUCCUGCUGCUCUCUAUGAGCCAAGUUCCUUCAAAACACUAGUGCUGCCAAAGAAGACUAUGUUUGAUUUUUCUCCACAAGUGGAUAAGCAGGCAGCUUCCUGGGCCUUGGACUUUCAUAAGUCUAAUUCUCCCCCCCCCCAGUCACAGGCCCAUGAAGACAUGGAAAUCCUUGAUGUCAUGCCUUUGGUGGCCCAGCUUCCUUCCAGUCCAGUCUGCCAAACAUAUGCUCCUCUGAUGCUUCCAAAGGCCCCUAUUAAGAAAAGGGAUGGCAAAACCCUUUUAUAUAAUCCUUACAGAAGGUAGAGUGCAAGAC
rnacentral:lncRNA from 1 species